UUCUGCAGCCCAGGCCAAGAGAACAUGUCAUCCACUCGCUGGCACUCAGCCCACUCUGUGACAAGCCCUGGAUCCACAUCUGCCUACUACCCUGUGUCCCGCAGAUCCCACCCUGAGCUUCUCCAGCCAGGACAGUCAGAGGCCACCAACCUCUCCCUAUCCAAGUGACCUCAGACAAGCCUGUAACCUGUGUGAGCUGCACCCCCUCACCUGUGAAUUGAGAUAAGAGCCCCUGCCCUUCCCACCAUAGAUUUAUGAUGAUGUCCAAAGGAGACCUUUCUGCCACAGCACUCUGAAAACAGGAGAGGGACUCACACAAGGCAUGACUUUAUUCUGCUGGCUGGAGCAGGGACAUGCCGUGGGCAUCACUUUAACUGUGGGCUUUGACUUAGUGAGGCUCAUAGUUUGCCUACAACUAAUCAAAAUCCUACAUCUUCUCCUGUCUCAUUUUAUUCACCUAAAAGUCUUCCUUCCCAAUCUAUUUUCCUUUACCCUUUAAAAUGGGACCAAAAUAAAAAUCUCUAUGCUUAAGAU